rnacentral:tRNA from 1 species
GCCGCGGUAACUCAGUUUGGGAGAGUGUCAGACUGAAGAUCUGAAAGUCGCGUGUUCGAGUCACGCCCGCGGCA